GAGCCCUGCAGAGACCAGCAGAGGCCCUGACCCAGCUGCCUCCUGCCAGGCUUCCCUCCUUAGGGGGGUCUCACCACGCCCACCCUCUAUUGCUGGGCAGGAGGAGGAAGCCGAGGCAGGCUGGGUGCCAUUUCCCUGUGGGCCUCUCUGGGGACGCACCGAGCUCGAGGCAGCUGCUCACCUGGAGUAGUUGGGGAUGGUGCCGUGCGCGGCAGUAUCCUUCAUGGUGUAAGAGUUCACGCGGUGGGCAUGCCAGCAGCCGCAGCCCUGGAACAUGGUGUCGGUGACGUGCAGGACCUCGUUGCAAUGCACCUGCAGCUCCCCUUUGGCCCUGCCCUCCAUGGCCAGGUUGACCCGGAUGUAGAAUGAGUCCCCCGAGGUCGCCACUUUGGCCUCCAGG
rnacentral:lncRNA from 1 species